CAGAGCUGGUAGCUUCAAAUAACUCUCAGCUGCACAGGGGCUCUAGAGCUUCAGGGAAGAAAUGAAUGGACUGCCUGUGUGCACUUUGAAUAGUCUCUUCCAAAAAAAAGGAAAAUACUGUCUGUGCUCCUCAGAAGGACUUGAUGCGAACUGUUGCCAGAGAUUUGUCACUCGGUGGAUGGAGUGCGGGAUGGAACAUAGCAGCUCCUGCUGGUGCCUUUGUCAUUGCUCCAAAGUGUGAGACCACUCGUGCAGCAAGGGGAGGGAGAGGGAUCAGAGCUCAGGAUGGUCCUCAGGUGGAGAAAGGCAGCAUGGAGAUGGCUACAGUGAGAAGAUCAAUGCUCAAGCAAGGCCACCGGGUUCAUGCCAGCACCCAGAGACCAGGGCUCUGGUGUCCCCAGCCCACAUGCAGUGAUAUCCAAAAGAGCAUGGGAUGUGACAGAAGUCACCCAUCAGAGACAGGCACGUGGGAGUGUAGCAAGAGAUGUUUUGUAAUCAUAAAAGCAACCAACAGCAUUGUAAAGGCCGCAAAGCAGAGACUGGUGAGAAUGUGUAGCUCCAACAUUCAGCAUGAAUUGGCAAAGCAGGCAUGUAAGUAAUCAUAGAGGGCCAUUGUGCGACUGAGUCCAAACUGCUGUUUGAUGAAAUUACUUCUCUGAAUAAGUCUCACUUAACCUACAGUAAAUACCUCUGAAUAAAAUGUCCAGCCUUAAUAUACAACAUUUUAAAUGACAGAGAAUUUAUCCCAACCUUCGGCAAAUAGUUCAAACAGAUUAUCAGCCUUUCUGUUUAGAACCGUCUUAGUGUUUCUAGCACAAAUUAAUCGGGGUGGAGUGUCUAAUUGCUGGUAACUGGAUCUGUUAUGGCUCCGUGUGCCAAGCUGGCAGCUCCUGUUACCAGAUUCCUGCUUCUCAGAGGCAGCCCUUGCAGGGAGAGAGCUGUGAUUCUGCAGUGGGACUGGUGCUGGAACUGGGGAGGCUGCCCCAGGCCUCUGCCUGUGCCGGCCUUGCUCUCAGUGUGACAUGGUGGCUCUGGGCUGUGGAGGAGGUCUGGAUACUAGCUCAAGGGCUGCUGCCGUCCUUCUGGCCUGGGAUGACCCAAAUCUGCUCCUACAACCUGUUGGACAGGAGCUUGUUGAGGCACGGGGAAGCUCCACGGGGUUGGACUGGAUUUUAUUGCUGUGGUUUCCCAGGCCGCUCUUGGGGACCAACGUUUUCUCUGUCAGAGUGAAAGCGUGCCUGACAGAGGGAGUUGUUUCAGAGCUAAACAACGUCUGUGUUUAAACAUUUGUUUUUAAUUAGGCUUCUGCUCUGUGGCCAAUUAUGAAGCCUGAAACCACUGGGCAUCACUAGAGCCAUCCCUUGUCAAAGCCGCCAUACUUGCUGCUCCUCACUCUCUGGCGGGAGGCCCCGUCUGCUCACCCCUUUGUUUCCUCCUGCAGCCAUCCUGCAGCUCUCCUCCUUUCUCCUGCUGACCCUUAAGCUAUUUUCAGUAAACCUCUUUCUUUUCCCAGUGGGGGCAUUCUGUAAUUAAGGAGGCAGUGAUAACAUCUAGAGAUUAUUUACUGAUGUCCUUUAAAAAGGGAGCUCUGAGCCUGUCCCCUCUUCUCCCUUCCUUGCCAUAAACAGAGCUUAGUGUGGAACCUGGAGCUACGCUGAUGUGUGUGCUGAUUAGAUGCCUCUUCUUAGUUCAACUUGUUUGUCCAUACUGACCAUUUCCUACACGUUAAGGCCUUUUAGAAAGAGGACACUUUCCUGCCCAGCCUUCUCCCAUUUUUUGAGCACGUGUCCCCACUCACUGCAUUGGGUGCCCCAGAAAGGAGAGAGACAACCCAAUCUAGCGCAACGCCUUUGCUGUGGUGCCUGCAGGGAGCUGUCACACAGAUGGCCUCAUCCCAGGUCUCCUUUAUUGAUGUUGUUACACAGCCCUGCGCUAUGGCAACUGGAGCAGGAGAGAUGAGGGCCCCAAGAUGGCUGCCUGGGCUGGGGGUGUUGAUCCAGUGUGGGUGAGUCACAGGGCCGUGCUUCACCUCAGCCACCUCCGGCAGCUCUGCUGUGAGUCACCGCAGCCUGAGAAGACUUGCAGCACUUCCUGGGCCACGGGGAGGAGGGCAUCGGGUGACAACAUCACCUGUCAUGGGGAUGGAGUCAUGUGGAGAUCCGCUUUGGGAGCGGGAGGAAACAGCACCCCAGGAAGGGCUCUCAGGUGUCCCAGCUGGGUGUGUGUUUUGGUGUUAUGGGACCUACAGGGCAAAGACACUUCCCACAGGGGAGCAAGGAGGGGUGGCAAGGUGUGUACGCAUCACUCUGUCACAGCAAAACCUGCAAGACGAGGAGGGGGGAUGCAGCAGAGGGUUUGUGGAGGAGCCAGUCCCCCAGAAACACUGGGGCAGCCCCAUGUUUCAAGUGAGAAGUGUAAUAGACUGGUACGAAGGGGCAGAGUAUCACUGUGCGCAUGCAGGGUGCUCUACCUGGAAGCUCUGGAGCAAUCUUCAGGUCAGGCAGAAAACCUCACAGGAGCAGUCCCUCGCCUUUUCCAGAGGAGUCACUUGGCUGGUUGGUGCAUGAAUGCAUGAGAACGAGUCACCAGGUGGAUGUGGCGAGUUCUGGGCACAUUGUGCAUGACCACUGUGUCCCUGCUGUGUCUCAGAUUAUAAAGAUGUGCACUGUAGCUGCAAUGUCAUGAGGCAGCCAAUGGUAGUGCAGGUGGGGUGAGCUCUGGAUGCUCUCCACAGGUGCAUCUGGAGCUGUUUGCAGAAUGUGGCACAGUUCGCUCUGAGAGAUGCCCUAAAAGCCUCCUGUGCACAUCGGGCCAUCUCAGAGGUGCAGGUGUUUUUCUGCUAUACUGCCUGAAUGUGGAUGUGGGAGAGCCGUGGGCUCCAAUCUGUGAAUCCUGGCUUUAUGUGACCAAAGUCUUUGAAGUAGUUCUCCAGAGAAGUGGCUGAAAAGCAAGGGCAUUUCGAAAUGCUCAGAGUGUGGAGGAAACCUGCUGGGUCUGCUGGGUUUUGCUCCAGAAUAGGUAGGGCAGCUCAGGUCCUCAUUUUCUGGAGGCCAGGAAUGUGCUGGGUGUCUCGAUGGCCCAAAGGGUACUUGGCUCAUGUACCCCCAGAUAGGCAUUUGGCCCUGUGUGCAUCUUGUUUUCAUGAAUGGAAGAACUCGGUGUGCCCCAUUCUUUCCACCUGUCUUUUAUCAGUUUACUCUUCAUAAAAGGAUUAUGCUAAUGCAUGUCUUGGCCUCAUCCCAGUGGUGCCUCAUAUCAGCUGGCAGCACCCAGCAGCAGCAGCCAGGCCUUCCUGUUUCAGGACAGAUAUUUGGGGCUGUAUAAGUCGCACACCCUAAAGUUAACUGUUUGGUUACAGGAAGCCACGCUGUUGAUUUGGUGUCCUAAUGACCAUGACUUCAGUGAAACGGCUGAGGUUGGAAGGACCCUUUGGGUCAACCAGGUCCAGCCCCAGCUCCAGCAGGGCCACCCAGAGUAGCUCCCCAGGCCCACAUCUAGGUGGCUUUGGGAGAUCUCCAAGGAGGAGACUCAAUAGCCUUUCCGGGCAGCAUGUAUCAUUUCUUCUGUUUUGGGAUGUAGGGCUGCUUAGAAAUAGAACUCUGAUGCUUUACAAUGAGGAUUUUGGCUCUCCUAUCUUACACAGAGAAUUAAUUUUAUUCAUUUAGUUUGUAAAUGGGUCCAAAUUAGAACACAGUGGGGCAAAGAGAUUGAUGAGAUGAGCAGAGCCACAGGCAUUGCAGCACAGUGACCAUGUGUCAGGAGCAGGUGCUCACUGCUGCCUUGCAGGAGGAGUUUCUCCAGGAGCAGCCGAGCUGGGACAUGCGGUGUGUAAGGGUUGAGCCAUGUGUCAUUACUCAGAGAAGCAAGACAAAUGAGAAAUCAAUUGAACAUCAAACCAUGGCUGCUGAUUGUCUGUGUUGAAAAUAAAUGAUUCAUCGAGUGCUUUAAUUGAUUCAUAUAUGCGGCAGGGAGUUCCAGUCUUGAUUUAUGGACCUUUCCACCAGUCAGGCAGGAAAGUCUUGCUCCCACUCACUUUAUUUGUGCAACAAACAUCCUUUUCUCUUGGCAUGGGUUAAGCCAACCCGCUUGUAAGCUUUUUGUCCCUGACUGUUUACUCUGCUUUAAAGCGAUUGGUCACUUGGCUCGCUCAAGUAGUGCUACUGCUAUCAGAACCAGGUAACUGAUUUGGAUUCUAUAUCAGAGGUGUCCAGAAGGCAUCAGCAUAGCCCUAAGCAAAAUGCUGGGCUUUGCAGCUCAGAGAGCUGCAGCCUGCAGUGCACUAUGCCCACAGAUCUAUGUGACUGUGUUAAUGAGACUGCACUUUCUCCCUGCUGCUCUCCCAGCUAAGGAGGAGGUUCUGGAGAUCUGCUUUUUGCCUUCUCACAGCUGUCCCACAGGUUAUCAGAACAGCAGGGCAGCCAGGGGGUGUUGGCUGUGGGUGAGGAGGUGGAUGGUGACUUGCCUAAUCUGUCGGUGGCACUGCAGUGGAUCGGGGAGAGAAGGGCUCCAUCAGCACUGGCAAUGGGGGAACAACACAGGGAGAGAAAAAGGCCUUGGAAAGUUGUCGCAGGGUUUGUCAGGAAGCUAAAGGCAGACUCUUAUUAGCCACGCGUGCCCCCAGUUGUACGGAGGGGAGCAGCCAGCCAGCCCCUUCACCACUCAAGCUGUGUGGUGGUGGUGUUUGCUGUUGGGCUGUGUGUUUUCCUCUAGGUUUGUUCACCUGUCCUGUAGGCUGGGGGCAAAGAAACAGAGCAAGUUGUCUGAAGGGAACUAUAAUAAAAUAUUGCAGAGUGUCCAGGCGGGCUUUGAAGAUGGUGAAGGGUCUGGAGGGCAAGAAGUAUGAGAAGAGGCUGAGGCCUUGGUUUGCUCAGCCCACAGCAGAGGAGGUGAGGGGAGGCCUCAUGGCGGCUGCAGCUCUUCACAGGGAGUGGAGGGGCAGCGCUGAGCUCUGCUCUCUGUGACAGAGACAGGGCCCAAGGGAAUGGCAUGGAGCUGUGUCAGGGGAGGGGCAGGUUGGGUGUUAGGAAAAGAUUCUUCAACAGAGGGUGGUGGGCAUGGUCCCAAGCUGCUAGAGCUCAAGGAGCAUUUGCAUGAUGCUCUCAGACACAGGGUUUCGAUUUUGGAUGGACUCACAGAUCUUCGUGGGUCCCUUCCACCUCGGAAUGUUCCAUGAUUCUAUGAUGCUCCAGUCAAAUGGAGCCAAGCUCCUCUACCUGCCACAAACCACAGGAGAUGCUGCAACUGAUAGGUAGGUUGAAAUGGUGUGAGAAACAAAAUCAACCCCACAGUUGCAAUCUCUUGCAAUGGUUUGCCUCCAAGUUGUAACCCAGUAACCCAGGGGUUGAUUAAGGAUGGAGUCUGAGCAGCCUUUGGCUUUGUACAGCCCACAGCUGCUGCACUGCUGUAGGAUAAACUGGACUGCAGGAUCUGCCUGGCUAAGAAACAGUGCUUUUCAUCAGGCUGUUUCUCAGAUGGAUCUUUUCCUUUUUUCACCUAUUUCUUUACGCUAAUGUCAGGACUGGUGCAGUGGGAACAGAUGAGCUCCUGUUUUUCUGUAUCAGUUCUGCUGAAUUCCAAAUCAUAGCUACUGAGGUUUGCACUGGCAGUAGCUACACUAGCCUGGUGGAAAGCAUGCCCAGCCUCUGUAAACACAGGGUGUCUUCAUGAUUUGAUCAACUGGCAUUGUUACCUCAGUCUGUUUGGCAAUGAGACAGUGAACAGUGCUGCCACAUAUGUUUGUCUUUCUUAGGUGAUAUGUUUUUUAUUGUGUCAGAAAGAGUUUGUGCCUUGUGUCAGUCCGCUCCACUCUUGUUUAGGAUGGUGCCCCCACAAAUGAGAAAAAUAAACUUGGAAACCACCCUGGAUCUGCACCAGAGCUGUCUCAAGGCCCCAUGAGCCUGAGCUUCCUGCAGCCCAGCAGUAUAGCAUGAGCAAGUUAUCUGAGUUGCUUUUUCCCUACCAAAUUCCUGGGUUUUGCAACAGAGGGUUUCCAAAGCCUGCCAGGGAUGGGUCCCAGGGCUUUGUUUCCUGGCCAGAGGAGCGGUGUGCGGAUGCACUAAUGGAAAUGGUCUGUGCACACAGUUUCUUCAACAACAAGAGAUGUGUUGAAGCUGGGUCUGGUUGUUCCUUCCCUUGGUGCGUAGCUCGCCUGGCUCUGCAGCGUUUCACUGGAGAUAGCAUGGAUUGGGUAUGGCGAGAGGAAGCGGGACUAAGGGUUAAGAGCUUUGCCUGAGUUCUGAAUAAGCUGUCUAAGAAAACAGAUACGUUGUGAAAAGUAAGAAGAAAAGAGAUAUGCUGAUGGUUCUGGGCAGUUGCACAUGUGGUUGUUACAGAUAAGGACCAGAUCCUCAUAGAGAAGAAUGCUGGGUGUGCUUCUUGUGUUCUUUACUGGUUCAAAGUCAGCAAUGUAAACGUGGGGAGGGUUCCUUGUUCCCCAUAUGAAGGACAUAGGUGAGUCGAGCACUGCUCUGUAAGCGUUGCUUCAGCGCUGGUUCUGCAGAGAGGCUGAAGGAACUCAUUAUUCAUGAUUUUAUCUUACUACCUGAAAUACAUAAAUAGCCUAAAGGUUCCUCUGAUGGACUUUUUCCAGCUCUUUGAUGUGCCAAAGAUAAUUUCUAACAUACUCCCUCAACCUGUCCCCCCUCCCUAGCUCGGGUUUAAUGUUUCUACUUGUUAUGUUUACCUGUCUGUACUAGGCUGCAAGCUCUGCAAGGCAGGGGCCUUGCCAUCUUUCAUGUUGAAGGAGUUGUAACAUCAACAACUAUAAAACAGGAUACAAAUUAUCAAAGCAACAAAAAAUGAGGCAGCUCAGCUCUUGGGCAUCUUCUGCACUGAGAAGCUUGCACCGAGCCUCACGGUGCUCUGGAUUUUGAGUCUGCGUGACUGCAGCAGAGAGAGUGGAUGGGUGCAUCCCCAGACCUGUCCCUGGACUUCAGUAGAUUAUAUGCAAGAGAUGGGUAAAGCUGAGUCAUGUGUGCUGCCUGCUCCAAGUCCUUGCAGAUGGGACGUGUCCCUGAGCGUCCCUCUGAUCCAGCAGCACGCCUGGGAACCUCCAGUACGCUAGCAGCCAGGUCCUGCUCACCUUCCCAUUCUGAGAGCCUCUUGCAGCCUAGGAUGUGUCACUGUUGCUGCGAUAACCUCCUGUUGUGCUGGGAGUGGUGCCUCUGUGGUGGCAGCCAGGGAGCAGGCUUUGAUCCCGUGCAUCCACGCUUCUUUUGGGAUCCCAGCCUCUGUGUCUCCCUUGCCUAGGGCUGCAGAAGGCCCUCACAAUCUCUUCACAUGCAGAGCAGCACCCUUGGGUGCUCACAGUCACUCUGGCCUUUUGCUAGGAUCCAGAAGUGCUCUCAUCGCUGGCUCCUUCUUUGCCCAUCUGCCUCUGCAGACUCUUCCACACUUCUUUCAAACAAAGCUAUUAUUCCGCUGACCCAGGCCUGCUGUUUGCUGAUGAAUCGGAUGCUGUUCACUGCAGCUCAAAAUACUCUUUGCUGCUCUUAAUGCUUUCCAUUCAUUUUCUAUGGCGAUCAGAUUCAUGGCAGCAGCUACGCAGCUUUCAUUGAUACCCGAUGCAGCAUCUAUACCCUCAGCAAAGGCUUUUUUGUGCAUCAGGCUCCAAACCUUUCAAGCAGGCUAUGGUGAAAAGCCAUAAUGUCCCUUUUCUGCCAUGCCCCAAGCCACCUGCAGCCUGUGAAAGAGCACAUUGUUUCUGCAAUUAACGAAACAACACAGGCAGUGUCUUUGCUGCUUGUGGGAGAGGGCUCUGGGUAAUCCCUCCUUGCUCUGCCCCCAGCCUUCAUCCCACCCCCCAUCCUGUCUGAGGCCCAAUUUCAGCCCCACUGCUGCUUCAUUCCAAAUGAGGGUGAGUUUUGCAGGAUAGCAUUUUGGUCCAGCAGCUAAAUGAACCUCCUGAUAUAGUGUUACCCAGUGGGCUGGCUGUGCUGGGUGCCACAGGCAGCUCCUAGGUGUGAGGGUUUUCAAUGAACAGCCACAGUUUUCUUCUUGCUCUCUCUGGAAGACUGUGUGCCUCUAAGUGACCAACGUGGAGAGGGAGGUGUUGGGUUGUUGUGUUUUUCCUUCUUUUUCCUUUUCAUUUUUCUCUUCCCAAAAAAGCACUGUAUAGGGGAAAGGUGCUGCACUACCUUUUGCUCAGAUAAAAGGAGCCUGACAGCUUAGCACUGCUCAGAGACAGGAAAAUUGCUUUGUCUGGUGAAUAUUCUAAAGACAUGAAAUAACAAGACAUGAUCAAAAUCCUCUGCUCAACAGAAGAGCUGUUGCAGCUCUUGCAGAGCCAACAAUUCCUUUGUUUCCCUCAGCUUCUGUAGAACAAUGUGAGAGAAGGAGCAGCAGAGAUUUGUGACUGCUUUCUGCUAACGAAACAGGAGGUUCGGGCUGCAGUUUGUGCUGGCAGCCUCAGGAAAAGUCCCUGCCCCAGCAGAGAAGUUGGGGUUUACCACGGGCAGGUCCUUGCUGGCACUAACCUGGUUCACCUGCUGGAGAAAGGAGCUGUCAGCGACAGUUCGGCGCUGUCGGGAGCCACCCAGAUGCAGCACGGGCACGUUGGCGUGGUGCAGUGCCAGCCCCGCGCUUACGCCGCUUAUUUUCCAUACAUGGAGCAGCGUCAUGCAGGGAGCAGUAGUGCUGCCUAAGGGAAACCAACAGCGCUGAACCAAGGGUGGAUAACACGCUGAGCUAGCAAAAGGCCAGAAGUAGCACAGCUCAACCAGGGGCUGCAGAUGCAGAACCCCCUGUUUGGUAGGGCCAUCCCUCAGACGAGGCUCGCGGUGAAGCCAGGCACGGGGACUGAGCCGCCUGUUUGCCUUGUGGGAGAAGUCCCAGGCUGCAGUUAGCUUUGGAUGUUUGAUCCUGUCUGAGGUCAUUUCUUCUCCUAUCUGCAAUAUUUCUAUUGCGAAUGCCCUCAAGCAUUUAAUUGAUGUAACACCUCUAAUUGCCCAAUGAACAUAUUGCCUCCAUUGUCCCUGUGAUCCCAGCCACAAACGUCGGGGCAGGAACCUAUCAUUUGCUGGCUUACAGAUGGAGAUGCCGGUAAACAACAGCGUUCUGUGGGUGUCACUGGGAGGUGAUCCCAUCCGGAGCCAGCGCGGGGCUGCCCGUGUGGGAAGCAGGCCAGCAUGCCUGCUGGGGUAGCCACAGCCAGCUUCAUUGCUCAAUAACAUUUUUACGUUAUUUUUACAGGGUGCCCAAUGGCCGGGCUUGCCACUGAGCAGCCAUGGGAUGGUGGCUGCAUUGAAUUCCCGGUGAUCCCACUGUUUGCUGGGGGAAAGGCAGGGGGGCAGGAAUGUCUGUAGGUGCACGACGCUGCCUCUACGAUAGGAGAACCCAUCCAUCAAUGUCAGCCUGGAAAAGAGAGGGCUGGGGGCUAUGGCAGGAGCCUAGGGCAUGAUGAAUAGCAGGAAGAAUGGGAGCUGUUGCUCACGAGAUGUAAGGGAUGUUAAAUGAAGUCAUAGACCAGAUAUUUUUAACGCAUUGAGGAGGAAGUCUUUUUCACAUGGACGUAAUUAAUUGGCAGAACUCAUUGCCACAGGAUGCUUCAGGUGCCGAAACUAUACAUUGGUUCAAAAGCAAUUAGGCAAAUUAAUGGGACAGUAACCAGCAGAGGCCUAGUGCGGCUGAUACUGCAGAUGCUGCCUGUGGCUUAGGAAACUGCUCUCCCCCCAUGACCAGAGCUGCAGCCCAGACACACUGUGUCUUCUCCUCCCAGGGUUCUCCAUGCAGGAUUUGCAAUACCCCAGGCAUAGGGAGUUUUCCCCAGUGUAGAAAGAAAUCCCCAGGUCCCCAGCACUGCCACGUGCUUUGCAAGGAGUUGGGGCAGGGGCCUCAGCACACGUGCUUCCACUCCACUCUCUAUUCUGCUGGAUGGGCGAUCCCCAAGGCGCUUUCCCUGUGAUUUGCACAGCUCCAGCUAACUGUGGGAUGUACUGAUGCCAUGAGGUACAGGUGCAGUGCCCAGAAAUUGCAAGGAAAUAGCCCUCGUGUAUAUGCAGGAGGAAAGAGUGAGGGGGUAGUCUGCAGGCUGUGAUUAAAGCUCAGUGCGUUUACAUUUUAAAUGCUCCAGUGCUCAGUCAGUUUAGAUAGCUUAAUCUUUGAGAAUUAGAUAGCUUAAUCAGACAGAAAUAGAAACGGCACAAAGAAGGUCCUGUAAAACCCCAGGGCUCUGGGUAGAGGCGCUCCAAGUUUGACUUCAUUUUUGUUUAAUGCAGCAGUCUGCUAGGUGCUUUUUAGACAAAGUGCCGGAAAGAGAUUUCAUGUGAGGUGAUAUGUAAAGCAAGAACUGUGAUUUGUUUAUUACAUUAAAGAACACAGGCAGAGCUUUAGGAUAAAAGAGUGUAAAAUAAAAUGACGUGGGAAGCCAAACGGCAGCACUUUGUGCCUGGCAGAGAGUGGUGGGACGUGGACUGUGCCAGGUUGCCUUCUCUGCACCGCCCUGGGCUUGAAGGGAUGCUCACGUUGACUUGGGCUUGUAAGGACACUGGCUGCCGCAUAAGGAAACAGUCAAUGGAUGAGAUCUACAGAGAAAAAAACAAACAAGGAUAUAAAUGACAUUCAGCUUUGCUUGUUGAGGUUCACCAAACCUCAUAUUUUCUUCCCAAGCAGAUGUUUUGUUUUGUUUUGUUUUCCUGGCUGAGUGUAUCUUCAGAGCUACUCCAAGGCUGUUUAUUGUAAAGCAAAAAAUCACCUUUGGAAACCAGUUGUGGAAAAUAACACAGGUGACAGCAGUGCAUACCUGCGACACAGCAUUCCUGGGCCUCCGUGGAAAUUCAACAGCCGUGCCGUAUAAUCAAGUCUCCUACUCCCGGUUAGCCUAUCUUGAUCACUUGGAAAAUCUGUAUUCACCCAUGAAAAAUGCACUCGCCCCAAGGCGUGCAGGCGUGGGAUUAUUUACCCACGGUUGGUAAGGGCAGUGAGUGCCUGGCAAAGCCAAUCUGUGUGAGGUGGGCAGUGUAGCUUUUGUUGAAACUCUCCAUCCAAUUAGCAUUCCUACACUGCAUCCUUCCUCCAUUUAUUCUGUCUCUUUUUUUUUCUUUCCUGUCCCUGUAAUGAUGCUUGAGGAACACUGUAGAAGCACUCAUUUUGAGCAGUUUGUCCCCCCCCCCCUGUUGUUUCCUUGUUUGUCUCUGCAAAUCCCCAGAGCUCCCCAGAUGCAGCAGUGCAUCAUCGGCCCCCAGCCCUGUGCAUGGAGCUGCCAUUGUGUUUUAUGGUUCAAAAUGAAGUGAAAACCUCUGUAGUUACAGUCUCCAGUAAGCUCGCUCAAGGUAGCAAGGAGGAAGAAGAUAAUCUAUUCGGGUCAUUAAGAUGUGAGCAUAUUUCAGCCUGUCCUAAUUAACCCUGUUUGAAAUUUGGCAUGUAUAUAAUCCAUUUUACACACCAGUCCUGACUGAAACUGGUAUUACAGUUCUGCCUCUCAGCAUCUGCUUUUGCAUUUGGAGGCAGUUUACAUAAAUGGGCGGCUUUCAUCUGUGCUCCCACCCCAGCUGUCUCGCAGCAGUGUGGAGCUGUGUUCCCCUGCCCGUCAGGGACAGGCUCAGUGGGGGCACCAGGACUACCAGCAUCAUGGCACACGCUCUGCAGCGGCCUCAGGGGUCCCCCUGCCAGCCUGGGAGCAACACUGGUAGCUGCUUCAAGGAGCUGCCAGAGAACCAGCUCUGUUUGUGCAAGGGUUUGUUUGGUUUUCUUACGAGUGACGUUGAACGAGUGAGCCGUUCCCAGAACAUGCUGCCUAAGCUGACCUUAUCCCUUUAGCCACAAGCGUACCUGCGGCUCGCUGUUUGCUCCCUAGCUCUUUAUGAAUGCUGGUGGGAAUGGCCUGUGGCAGGGCACGUGGCUUCUGGCAGCAGUAUGUCACGCUGCAGCACCUACCACCCUUUGCCUCUCACCUUGUUUUGGGGUCUUUGGACAUGGUAAGGACAGGCACCCAAGGACAUUCCCAGGCAGAAAAGAGAAUUAGCACCUCCUGGGCACAUCUGCACUGGGAGGCUCCAGCCUGUGGCCUGAAGCUGAAGCACGUGGCAGAGGAAUACAAACAAAUGAGAGGAAGGCUGGUGGUAACUGAGCUCAUUUUCCAACACUUUGAGCAACUGUAUUGAUCUCAGCUCAAAGCUUUAGUUUUGGCUGUAAACAAUGAAUGAUAGAGGGCAGGCUUUUAAACGGCCUCUCUGAUGUCCUGGGAGGACACAAGGCUGCUUUGUAAGUGUAGGAGCCAGUCCUGGUAGUGACAAGGCAGAGAGGAAGGUUGUAUUCAAUGCUGAAAUGAUGGUGAAUUGUAUCAAGAGGCUGCUGUGCAAGGGCUGUGGGAGGCAGACAAGUCCCAGCAGGCCUGGGGCACUGCCUGGGGUGUGGGCAGCAGCACAAGGUGAGCCCAGGGCUGAGAGCCUCCCUGUGCUUGGAAGGACAGCCCUGAGGGCUUUCAUAUUGCCAUGCCACCAAAGGGCUUCCACCUGCCUCGGUGGGGUAACACAGCUUGAGGCAAAGGGCGAACUGCCCUCGGCUAAGGGUGUUGUCUCAAUUUGCCUAAAGCUCAGCAGUAGAAGAAAAUGAAAGGUUUUGUGUGUGUGUUUUCAUUUUGUUUGUUUGCUUUCUCCCAAAUUUAAACCACGGUAAGCAGUUUGCUUUCUGAAGUUAAAUUAUCAAGUUGCAUUUUAAAAAGCUAUUUCUGUUCAUGACAG
ensembl:lncRNA